rnacentral:rRNA from 1 species
UACGAAGGGGGCUAGCGUUGCUCGGAAUUACUGGGCGUAAAGGGCGCGUAGGCGGAUAUUUAAGUCGGGGGUGAAAGCCCAGGGCUCAACCCUGGAACAGCCUUCGAUACUGGAUAUCUUGAGUACGGGAGAGGUGUGUGGAAUUCCUGGUGUAGCGGUGAAAUGCGCAGAUAUCAGGAGGAACACCAACGGCGAAGGCAGCACUCUGGGCCGGUACUGACGCUGAGGAGCGAAAGCGUGGGGAGCGAACAGG